GACUGGAUUCAAGUUUCACCAACAGGGAAACUGGCCCAUGGACAAUUUGCUACAGCUGGAGGACACAGUCCUGCUUGUCAACCACCAGUGUUCCAUGUGAGCAUAGUUCUGAAUCACAACCUACAAGUGAGAACGGAAAGAAGCCCUACUUAAGGGUAUAAAAGAAACGUUAUCUACAGAAAUCCAGAACACUUCUCUAACCUCUUUGGAUUUUCUUGGGAAGAUCAGGACCUGUUGAGAAAUUUU